GGCGCGGAGGCCUCCGGCCGGCGGGCAGGGGCGCGGUCGGUCUGGGAGCAGCGGCACCGCCCGCAGCGUCCCGGUUCCUCGAAGCGGGGCGCGUCCGCUUUAAUCGGGGAGAGAGAUGUGGGGGCACGGGCGUUACAUCAGCCGCCACGUGUGGGCCUAAGCUGGCGUGCGGGCGGCGGCCCCGCCCCCGGUCCCUGCGGUGGAAAAGUACCGGGACGCGGAGGUCCCCGCCCCACGGCCCCGCCCCCGGGCCGGCCCCGGCCCUCCGGGCAAGCCCCACUCUCCCGCCCAGCCCGGCCCCGCCGCCUGCUCGAGAUCUGCAGUGGCUGCCGGGUGCGGAGCGCCGGCCGGUGGUGGGCUCUCCAGGGCUGCUAGGCCCCUGCCCUCGCCUGCGGCCGCCCGGCCCCACCCUAGGCGUGCCGUCAAUGGAUCAUGAAGAUGGAGGUGGUGGCUCAUGCCUGUUAAUCCCCACGCUAUGAGAGGCUGAGGCGGGAGGAUCACUUGGGGCCAGUAGUUUGAGACCAGCCUGGGCAACAUGGCAAGACUCCAUCUCUACAAAAAAAUGCAAAAAGAAAUCAGUGGACCAUAUAUGUACACAUCUAUUUUGGAUUCAUGCCUGUAAGAUACUGAGCAUCGACCAGGCGCGGUGGCUCACAACUGUAAUCCCAGCACUUUGUUUGGGAGGCUGAGAUGGGUGGAUCACCUGAGCUCGGGAGUUCGAGACCAGCCUGACCAACAUGGAGAAACCCCAUCUCUACUAAAAAUACAAAAUUAGCUGGGCAUGGUGGUGCAUGCCUGUAAUCCCAGCUACUCGGGAGGCUGAGGCAGGAGAAUCACUUGAACCUGGGAGGCAGAAAUUGCAGUGAGCUGAGAUUGAGCCAUUGCACUCCAACCUGGACAACAAGAGUGAAACUCCAUCUCAAAAUAAAUAAAAGAUACUGAGCAUCUUUUGAUCUAUAUGUCUUUAUGCCAAUACUACACUGUACUGAUUAUUUUAUAUUGUCUAAAAGAAGCAGUAACAUUAUUAACUUUAUUGUCUUAACCCUUGAAUAUAUGUCUUUGAAAUAUUUUGUGUGACAAAAUGGGAAGUAUGCUUAUCUCAAGGAAAAGCACUUACGCAAUUGAAUUGUGAACUGAAUGCACCAAACACCAGUUUUACUUAAAAGAACAAAUGACAAACUAUAGUUAUCAGACUUGGGUCUUUGGCAUACUUUUUCUCAAAAGUGAAUCAAGUGAGCCUAUCAAUUCAAGGAAAAAAAAAUUAGUGUUUGUUGCCAGUGAAAAAAUUAGCGUUUUCAAGUGAAAAUUAGGAUUUGAAAAACUUAUAUCUACUUACAGUGAGUUUGAAAGCUUUCAAUUCUAAUGAGACCAGUGAUAGCAUUAAUGAGUGUGCUCUUUAAAAAAUAUUGUAUAAUGAAAUGUGUCAACAUUUGGGAGAUCUGCAUAACUCAGUGAACCAAUAUUUUCCAAAUGACCAAUACAUGAUGUUACAAAAUCAUGCAUGAGUAAAAGAUCUAUUCAAAGUGCAAGGCAGACCAGUGGAGUGUAACAUUAACAGAGUAUGAAACGUCCACGUAGUAACUAACUUUUAAGAAACUACCACCUCGAGUUUUGGUAUGGAAGAAAGAAGAAUUUACUGAAAAGGCUAUUAAAAUACUUCUCUCUUUCCCAACUACAUACUUUAUGAAGCUCAGUUUUCAUCACAUAUUUUAACCAAAGCAACCCAUUGCAACAGAUUGAAUGCAGAAGCAGCUGAGAAUCUAGCUGUCUUCUACAAGCCAGACAGUAAAGAGAUUUGCAAAAGUGUAAAACGAUGCCACUGUUCUCACUAACGUUUUUGUUUUAGAAAAUAUACAGCUAUCUGGCUGGGCGUAGCGUCUCACGCCUGUAAUCCCAGCACUUUGGGAGGUAGAGACGGGUGGAUCACCUGAGAUCAGGAGUUCUAGACGACCAGCCUGGCCAACAUGGUGAAACCCCGUCUCUACUAAAAAUGCAAAAAUUGUCCAGGCAUGGUGGCGGGCACCUGUCAUCCCAGCUACUCAGGAGGCUGAGACAGGAGAAUCACUUGAACCCAGGAGGCGGAAGAUGCAGUGAGCCGAGAUCGUGCCAUUGCACUCCAGCCUGGGUGACAAGAGCAAAACUGGGUCUCAAAAAAAAGAAAAUGUACAGCUGUCUUUCAUUGGUAUAAGUAUAUUUUCAGUUAAAAUAUAACAAAAAUAUUGUUAUUUUGAAUUAAUAUAUGUUUUAACUUUCAGUUUUAAUUUUGAAUACAUUGAAGAUCAUGAGAUAAAACCACUUAAAAACUCUUUAGGUUCUUAAUUUUUUAAUUAAGAACCCAAUUUUUUAAAUUAAGAACCUCAAUUUUUUUGAGACUCUGUCUCAAAAAAAAAAAAAAAACCUGAAAUUUUUUGCCCUAAACCUUUGUUCAUAUUAAUGUACUAUUAAAGAAUAAGUUUAUUUUACGGCUACAUUAUAGUGCAUAUGAGCUACUGAUUUUUAGCAUGUUCCCAGCGUGGUUGGCAGCAUCUCUCUCCCUCGUGGAAGGUGUGUGUUGUCACCUUCUGCCCACACGGCCCCUGGUUUUCUCCCUCGAUGAGAGAGAAAAACGGAUCCCUUCGUAGUUACUGCCUCCAGGACAUGUGACACCAGAUGGCCCGCCAUGGGUUUGAAGCAAUUUCUGGUGAUCUUGCUUAAUUCUCUCUCUUCUAUUUCCAAGCACACUAUUUAUUUAUUUAUUUAUUUAUUUAGAGAUGGUCUCGCUCUAUCACCCAGGCUGGAGUGCAGUGGUGUGAUCACAGCUCACUGCUGCCUCGACCACCCAGACUCAAGUGAUCCUCCCACCUCAGCCUCCUGAGUAGCAUGUGCCACCAUGACUGGCAGGUGCUAAAAACGAACUGUUUUUUGUUUUAUUUUGGAGAGACAGGGGUCUCACUGUGUUGCCCAGGCUGGUCUCGAACUCCUAGACUCAAGUGAUCCACCCACCUUGGCCUCCCAAAGUACUGGGAUUAUAGGUGUGAGCCACUGUGCCUGGCCUCUAAGCACAUUUGUAAAAAUGCUAUUAUUUUUGCACACUUUCUGUGUUAAGAACUUUACAUUCAUUUUCUCAUUUAAUCCUCACAAUGACCCUGUGAGCUAGAUACUGUUAUUAUUCCCAUUUUAUAGAUAAGAAAACCCAACCUCAGAGAGAUUAGGGGAAACCUGUGGGAAUGUAACCGAUUUUAAAUCCUCUUUAAUGUAUAGAUACAAAUUAAAGGUGAGCUUAAAUCCCUUUAAAUUUAUACAUUUAAAAAUUUGUUCAUCUAAAGUUUAGUACUUUAACAAUUGUUCUUAGUAACAAAUUACCACUAAAGGGUUAGUAACAAAUUACCACACCAGCACAGAUCCCCCACCCUUAAAACUGAGCCCCAGCUGAGCCCUCACAUUGGGCCCUUACCCUUGAGUCCCCUGAAGCCCCAUGCUGUGUUCAGGGCAUGUGUGCCCCAAACGUGAACCCUUACACUGGUGUCUUGCCUGAUUUUUUUCCAGAACCUUAAUACUGAGUCUUCAUACCCAUUUUCCUCACUGGAACCUCCCUGAGCCCUUACUUGAGGCAACAUGUGUGAGCUCUUCACCUGUUUACAUGUCUGACCUGCUGGUCAGCCCUGACACCAGAACCCCACGCUUGAGUCACUUAACUAGCAGCAGAGUCAGACUCUGAGACCAUCCCUUUAGAGGAAGCAGCAGAGAAAAUGGGAGCUGGAGGGGAAGGGAGUGGUGGAGAUGGGGGUGUGAGCUGGGAGAAGCAGGCGUGGGGGAGAACUCUGGGCUGUCAGCCCCUAGCUAUGGUCGGGAAUGUUCCCAGGCAGCACUGACCUUUCACCCCCACCCGCCUCGGUGCGAUGAUUGGCUGUCUCUGCCAUCCCCGCUUCCGGGACCAGAAGCCACCUCUGGAGCAACUGGGGCAUCCCCAUGGCAACCAUGCCAGGCCAGCUUGGGAGAGGUGUGGGGCUCCUUCACAGCCUUUUAUUGCCCCAAAACAGGUUGACUCUCUCGUCCUGGUAACCCUCAGGGCCCUGCAGAUCACAGUGUCCAGAGAGGAGGUGCCGUUGCUCCUAGCAGGUCUCUUGAUUCAGGAAAAAGCGUUUCUCUGGUCUCAGCCAGAUCCUUCCUGGGCUGAUCUGUUGGGAAACCCAAGCUCUCUGUCCUUGGGCCCCUAGCCCCUACCAACACCCUCCUAGCGCAUUCUAGCAGGAGAGCGAGAGGGAGUGGAGGCAGUCUGAACUCUUCCCUCUGCCCACCUGGGUGUGGGCUUGGUGAGAUACUGAGGGUGGGGCGUCCACCUGAGUCCGUGGAGGGAGGAGAGACUACGGUGUGGUGGGGGCGAGGCCACUCAGGGCUUUGUGACCUAGACAGAGGCUUUAUGUGGGUGAUUAGCUGUCACGUUGGGUCUAAGCUCCUUACCCUCAGAACCUAGCUUUCCUGCCUGCCCCCAGGGCUAAUCCAGAGGUGGGGGAGGGGCUAAAGACACUGGGCUCUGCCAGGGGCCUUGGAUGAGCUUAUCAUGGAACAUAAGAAAAAUAAAACAGAUGUCAGCCUGUGUAUGAAGAAUUCAUCCACAAGAUUUGAGCAGACCGAAGACCGUGAGACUUCCUACCCACAGUGAGCUAAAAGGACGCUUUUGUCAGAGUGGGGAAAUAAAAGGGCUUUAUGGGAAGGAAGAUAAGAACAGAUGAGUCAGAGGUUUCUGCUUAAUGGUGGUACAGCCAAGCAGACAGGCAAGUGGCCAUACUGCUGCUGCCUCAUGUAGGAUCCGGCAGGCUGGUGGGUUAUCAGUCCUCACGUGGGACCCUCCCACCAUGGCAGCUAAGCACAUCCAAGCUGGGGGAUCCUGAAGAGACCUUCACCUGGGUGCCACGCGGAAGAUUGGCCAGCACCAUUUUGACUCCUGUGGAUGGUUCCAGGUAAAGACAAUCCUUGCACAAGGCUUCCAACUCGACCCGCCUACUGACCUGGAGAAUGAAAGUGUCCUGCCUCGGAGCCCCUCAGAUCAGCACCCAAACUGCACCUGGUCACCUGUCUACAUUCAGAUUUGGAUGAAAGCCACACCAUGGAGGCAGCCAGAGGCCCAUGGGAGAUGUCUGGAUUCGCAGAGGAAUAGCUCCAUAUGAUGCAAACCUUGACUAAUGGGAACAGGAAAAGGGAGGAAACCAGGAAGAUAAAUCUCCCUCCCUUCUCAUUGCUCCUUGCAACCCUUCCCACUUGAAGCAUGACCACAUUUAAUGAACAACCUGCUGUGUCUCUUGGAAGCUUGCUGCAAGGCAGCAAUCAGCACAAUAACAUUGUAUUGUAUCUUCCUCUGCUUCACUUCUCUUCCUCCCUCACCCUCACUGCCCUGAGCUGGCACAUCCCAAAGAAAGCAUUACCACAUUAAUCCUUGUCUCAGACUCUGCUUUCAAGAGGAUCUAGGUGAAGGAAAUUCCUAUUACUCCACCUCUUCAUCACCUCUUCAAAUGUCAGACUUUAAAAAUGGUGUCAUUUUGUUGAGUGUAUCUCAUUGUGGUUUUAAUUUGCAUUUUCUUGAUUAUGAAUGGGGUUGGCUAACUUUUCCUAUGUUUAUUGGAUUUCUUCAUUUGUGAAGUGCUUGUUUAAGUUUUCUACUGAUUUUUCUAUUGGGUUGUCUUUUUUUCUUUCUUUCUUUCUUUUUAAGACAGAAUCUUGCUCUGUUGCCCUGGCUAGAGUGCAGUGAUGUAAUCAUAGCUCACUGAAACCUCGAACUCCUGGGCUCAAGCAAUUAUCCCAUCUCGGCCUCCCAAGUAGCUGGAACUACAGGUGUGCACCACUACCACCAUGCCUGGCCUUUUUUUUUCCGCAUAGAGACAGGUCUUACUAUGCUGCUCAGGCUGGUCUUGAACUCCUGGCAUCAAGUGAUCCUCCUACUCAGCCUCCCAAAGUGCUGGGAUUACAGGUGUGAGCCACUGCACCCAGCCUUUUUCUUUCUUUCUUUUUUUUUUUUAAAAAAAAAGAAAAAGUGGCUCACUCCUGUAAUCCCAGCACUUUGGAAGGCCGAGGCGGGCAGAUUAGUUGAGGUCAGGAGUUCAAGACCAGCCUGGCCAACAUGGUGAAACCCCGCCUCCACUAAAAAUACAAAAAUUAGCUAGUUGUGGUGGUGUGCGCCUGUAAUCCCAGCUACUUGGGAGGCUGAGGCAGGAGAAUCGCUUGAACCUAGGAGGUGGAGGUUGCAGUGAGCCAAUAUUGCGCCACUGCACUCCAGCCUAGGUGACAGAGCAAGACUCUGUCUCAAAAAAUAAAUAAAAAAGAAAAAAGAAAAAAAUGGAUUUGUAAGAUGUUCCAGUUAACUACUGCUAUAUAACAAAUUACUCCAAAACUCGGUGGCAUAAAACAAU